rnacentral:rRNA from 1 species
CUCGUGUCGUGAGAUGUUGGGUUAAGUCCCGCAACGAGCGCAACCCUUAUCGAUAGUUGCUAGCGGUUCGGCCGAGCACUCUAUUGAGACUGCCGUUGACAAAACGGAGGAAGGUGGGGAUGACGUCAAGUCCUCAUGGCCUUUAUGUCCAGGGCUACACACGUGCUACAAUGGCAAGUACAAAGCGCUGCAAACUCGCGAGAGGGAGCCAAUCGCAAAAAGCUUGUCUCAGUUCGGAUUGGAGUCUGCAACU